UGCUGGGAUUACAGGUGUGAGCCACUGCAACUGGCCCAUUUUUAACCUUUAUAUUAAAGUAUAACACAGUCAGUUACAGAUCGAACUCCUUCUUCUCCUCUUUUCCCCUUUCUCACUACUGCACUUGACUAGUCUUAU
ensembl:misc_RNA Y_RNA Y RNA